rnacentral:rRNA from 1 species
AGUGGCGGACGGGUGAGUAACGCGUGAGAAUCUGCCUUGGGGUCGGGGACAACCACUGGAAACGGUGGCUAAUACCGGAUAAGCCGAUUGGUGAAAGAUUUAUUGCCCGAAGAGGAGCUCGCGUCUGAUUAGCUAGUUGGUGAGGUAAGAGCUCACCAAGGCAGCGAUCAGUAGCUGGUCUGAGAGGACGAUCAGCCACACUGGGACUGAGACACGGCCCAGACUCCUACGGGAGGCAGCAGUGGGGAAUUUUCCGCAAUGGGCGAAAGCCUAACGGAGCAAGACCGCGUGAGGGAGGAAGGCUCUUGGGUUGUAAACCUCUUUUCUCAGGGAAGAAGCUCUGACGGUACCUGAGGAAUCAGCCUCGGCUAACUCCGUGCCAGCAGCCGCGGUAAUACGGAGGAGGCAAGCGUUAUCCGGAAUUAUUGGGCGUAAAGCGUCCGCAGGUGGCGAUUCAAGUCUGCUGUCAAAGCACGGGGCUUAACUCCGUAAAGGCAGUGGAAACUGAAUAGCUAGAGUGCCGUAGGGGUAGAGGGAAUUCCCGGUGUAGCGGUGAAAUGCGUAGAGAUCGGGAAGAACAUCGGUGGCGAAAGCGCUCUACUGGACGGCAACUGACACUCAGGGACGAAAGCUAGGGGAGCGAAUGGGAUUAGAUACCCC